GAUCAUGGCUCAGAACGAACGCUGGCGGCAUGGAUUAGGCAUGCAAGUCGAACGAAGUAGCAAUACUUAGUGGCGCAAGGGUGAGGAACGCGUGAGUGACCUACCCGCAAGUUUGGAACAGCUCCUGGAAACGGGAAUUAAUACCGGAUGUGAUCAAUGAGCUGCAUGGUUUAUUGAUUAAAGCAGUAAUGCGCUUGCGGAUGGGCUCGCGUCCCAUUAGCUAGUUGGUGAGGUAACGGCCCACCAAGGCCAUGAUGGGUAGCUGGUCUGAGAGGACGACCAGCCACACUGGGACUGAGAACUGCCCAGACUCCUACGGGAGGCUGCAGUCGAGAAUUUUGGGCAAUGGACGAAAGUCUGACCCAGCAAUGCCGCGUGCGGGAUGAAGGUCUUCGGAUUGUAAACCGCUGUUUGGAGGGACGAAAAUUGACGGUACUUCCAGAGAAAGCCACGGCUAACUACGUGCCAGCCGCUGC
rnacentral:rRNA from 1 species